UGAUUUUCUUCUUAUAUUUGGAAAAAAGGCUAAAUUAUCUUAGUAACUACAGUAACAUAAAUAUUCAUCAUAAUAUAGUGGUCACCACUUAUUGUAAUCAUGAUUAAGUUCAGAUGGUGUUUCAGACUGCUGGCAAUUCUGUUUGUCGAGCCUGCACGAAGGUGUUUCUGCCAAAUGAAGAUCUUUUGGUUUGUACUGUGAAUGAUUCUCAUAAGUAUCAUCCUACUUGUGUGGGGAUGCCUAUGCAUGUCUAUAGAAAAAUGUCAAGAACUAAUCAAGAGAGUUGGAAAUGUGGUGAUUGUGAAGAAAAUGAAGGUAGUCAGCUUAAGGCUGACAUUCAGUUGUCACAGUUACCUGUGGAGCAAGGUAUGUCUAUAUCAGGGAUAGAGCAAUUAAUAAAAGUGAA
rnacentral:lncRNA from 1 species